rnacentral:snRNA from 1 species
AUACUUACCUGGCAGGGGAGAGACCAUGAUCACGAAGGUGGUUUUCCCAGGACGAGGCUUAUCCAUUGCACUCCAGAUGUGCUGACCCCUGCAAUUUCUCGAAAUGUGGGAAAUUUAACUGUAUAAUUUAUAGUAGUGGGGGACUGCAUUCAUGCUCUCCCUUG